rnacentral:rRNA from 1 species
UGGGGAAUAUUGCACAAUGGAGGGAACUCUGAUGCAGCGACGCCGCGUGAGUGAUGAAGGAAUUCGUUUCGUAAAACUCUGUUCUAUGGGAAGAAAAGGACUGUACCAUAGGAGAAAGCUCCGGCUAAAUACGUGCCAGCAGCCGCAGUAAUACGUAUGGAGCGAGCGUUGUCCGGAAUUAUUGGGCGUAAAGGGUGCGCAGGCGGCUUUACAAGUUGGAUGUGAAAUAUUGUGGCUCAACCACAAACGUGCAUCCAAAACUGCAAAGCUUGAGUUAAGGAGAGGUAAGUGGAAUUCCUGGUGUAGCGGUGGAAUGCGUAGAUAUCAGGAGGAAUACCGGUGGCGAAGGCGACUUACUGGACUUAAACUGACGCUCAGGCACGAAAGCGUGGGGAGCAAACAGG